CAGCUCACAGGCUGCAGGGGGCCAUGGCCCUAUCUUACUUGUUCUCCUGUCUCCAAAAGCUCAAGGAAGCCAUUGAUUGAGUUUAUUUGUAAACUGAAGUCCACCGAUGGAAAGAGGAAGAAAAUGCCGUAUCCUCUUAACCGCUUAAAAAUCUUGACCUCAAAGAGAAGGAAAAAGCUGAAGCGGGAAUGUUGAAGAAACAUAAAUUUCAAUAAGUGAAUAACUUCAGGCUUUAAUAUGAAAUUCACUCUCAAGUAUUUAAAUUCACAUUAAUCUGCCUUUUCAUUCUUUAAAAACAAAGACACACAAGCAGAAAACUCCCACUGAAGCCUUUUUUAGGUAUAAAACAUUAAUCUAUUGAAAGCUUCACUAAUGUACAAUAUCUCUGCA
rnacentral:lncRNA from 1 species